GUUGCUUUUUUCAGUACGAAAGGACCGAAAAAGCGGGACCUAUGUUAAAAACAUGUCCUAAACAAUAAAGCUAAAAUCAACUAAAGCUUAUUCAACAAAACUUGUCCGGAGAUAACGGACUUA
rnacentral:rRNA from 1 species